CGCUUAUUCAUGAUGCCGUUUGUCGUCCAGGAUUAUCUAGACAGCAUUUGGCGUUGAGAACACACGUGUAACCCACGUGAUGUUUGAUAAUUAGAUACGUGUUGCCCGCAACUUCACCUUCUUUGGGAAACGCCUCAUUGAAUAACCCUCACUCAGUCACCGCCUCUCAUCUCCAGCAAAAGAAUCUCAGAUCUACUCUUCUCUCAUUGGAAUGAUCUUGUUCGACAUGUCAAUGGUUCAUCAUCUCCUCGUCAAUCUUGUGAAAGGUGUUCCACACAUGAAUAUUUAUGUAAUACCAUGUCAAUGAUUUCGAUAGUAGCUACCUAUCAGGUUGGCCAGAAUACAACCAUUUCUCUUGGUAGGCGUUGCAAAAAUCUCGAGUUCUUAGAUCUUUCAUGGUGUCGCCUCCUUAUAGACAAGGCACUAGGAUUAAUUGCUGACAGCUGCUGGUCUCUCAAGUUGCUCAAAAUUUUUGGUUGCACACAGGUCGUCCAACGUGAUAAGGUGCAAAAGCCGCAUGAAGGCCAAGACAGUGGAGCUUCACAUCGAUCAUCUAUAUUUAGUAUAUAUAGUACAUCCUAGCUAGUUAUUUUUUCUAGGUUUUAGUUUUAAUUUCUUUGGUUAGAUUUAUGAUGUUGUUUUGGACUAUUUGGUUAGGAUUUUGGUUAGUUAUAUAGAUGCGUGUAUGUUUGGAUUCUGGUUGGUAACAUACGUGUACGUACUAUGAAAUUUAACUACUUAAGUUUUUGUAAGUUAAUUUUAUUGUUAAUUGAAGACCAAUUAUUCACAAUUCAGGUUUAA